rnacentral:lncRNA from 10 species
AAACUACCCUGCGAUUCUCUGCUGCCAGAGCAGGCUCGGCGCUUCCACCCCAGUGCAGCCUUCCCCUGGCGGUGGUGAAAGAGACUCGGGAGUCGCUGCUUCCAAAGUGCCCGCCGUGAGUGAGCUCUCACCCCAGUCAGCCAAAUGAGCCUCUUCGGGCUUCUCCUGCUGACAUCUGCCCUGGCCGGCCAGAGACAGGGGACUCAGGCGGAAUCCAACCUGAGUAGUAAAUUCCAGUUUUCCAGCAACAAGGAACAGAACGGUGAUGCUAAUGCCAUCGGACUGAGGACCAAACUUUGAGUAAGGAAAGUCUACAUUGUUGUUCUCCAUGGCUACUGUGCUGUCACCCCAGUCUUC